GACGAACGCUGGCGGCGUGCUUAACACAUGCAAGUCGAGCGGAAAGGCCCUUCGGGGUACUCGAGCGGCGAACGGGUGAGUAACACGUGAGUAAUCUGCCCUUGGCUUUGGGAUAACUACCGGAAACGGUGGCUAAUACCGGAUACGACAACCGUCUGCAUGGGCUGGUUGUGGAAAGUUUUUUCGGCCAGGGAUGUGCUCGCGGCCUAUCAGCUUGUUGGUGGGGUAAUGGCCUACCAAGGCUUCGACGGGUAGCCGGCCUGAGAGGGUGACCGGCCACACUGGGACUGAGACACGGCCCAGACUCCUACGGGAGGCAGCAGUGGGGAAUAUUGGACAAUGGGCGGAAGCCUGAUCCAGCAACGCCGCGGGAGGGAUGACGGCCUUCGGGUUGUAAACCUCUUUCAGUACCGACGAAGCGCCGAUGAUGGUGGUGACGGUAGGUACAGAAGAAGCACCGGCCAACUACGU
rnacentral:rRNA from 1 species